rnacentral:rRNA from 1 species
AGUGAACGCUGGCGGUAGGCCUAACACAUGCAAGUCGAACGGCAGCACAGUAAGAGCUUGCUCUUACGGGUGGCGAGUGGCGGACGGGUGAGGAAUACAUCGGAAUCUACUUUUUCGUGGGGGAUAACGUAGGGAAACUUACGCUAAUACCGCAUACGACCUACGGGUGAAAUCAGGGGAUCUUCGGACCUUGCGCGAUUGAAUGAGCCGAUGUCGGAUUAGCUAGUUGGCGGGGUAAAGGCCCACCAAGGCGACGAUCCGUAGCUGGUCUGAGAGGAUGAUCAGCCACACUGGAACUGAGACACGGUCCAGACUCCUACGGGAGGCAGCAGUGGGGAAUAUUGGACAAUGGGCGCAAGCCUGAUCCAGCCAUACCGCGUGGGUGAAGAAGGCCUUCGGGUUGUAAAGCCCUUUUGUUGGGAAAGAAAAGCAGCAGGUUAAUACCCCGCUGUUCUGACGGUACCCAAAGAAUAAGCGCCGGCUAACUUCGUG